UCACACAGCUCCCUUAAAAAAGAAAACAAUCUCUUCUAGCGGAUAAUUUAUCCACUACUCCUAAACUGUGGGCCUUCAAGCAGCCACCAAUAAAGAAUGCGUCACAGCUCUUCACAUAAAAAUUUUACAACAAAAUGACUCCCUUCUCAUUAACAGGCUAACCUAUGAUCAAUAGGAGAAUCAAUGCUAAAAUGAGUAACUAGGAAUUUCUUCCUCUUAAGCGCAAACUUACAUCUCACAUUAUUAACAGAUUACAAACCAAUACUCUAACUCAACAAGAUUAAAAUAUUGAACACAUCCUGUUAUUCCAACUCAGGUGCGCUCAUUAGAAAGAUUAAAAUCUGCAAAAGGAACUAGGCAAACUCAAGGCCCGACUGUUUACCAAAAACAUAGCCUUCAGCUGACCAAGUAUUGAAGGUGAUGCCUGCCCAGUGACAUAAUGUUUAACGGCCGCGGUAUCCUAACCGUGCGAGGGUAGCGCAAUCAAUUGUCCCAUAAAUCGAGACUUGUAUGAAUGGCUAAACGAGGUCUUAACUGUCUCUUGCAGAUAAUCAGUGAAAUUGAUCUCCCUGUUCAAAAGCAGGAAUAUACCCAUAAGACGAGAAGACCCUGUGGAACUUAAAAAUCAAUAGCCACUGCUAAUCAAUUACAAACCUAAUAGGCUUACCAACUCACAAUGCUGGCUAAUUUUUUUCGGUUGGGGCGACCUUGGAGAAAAACAAAUCCUCCAAAAAUAAGACCAUACCUCUUAACCAAGAGCAACCCCUCGACGUACAAACAGUAACCAGACCCAAUAUAAUUGAUAAAUGGACCAAGCUACCCCAGGGAUAACAGCGCAAUCCCCUCUAAGAGCCCCCAUCGACGAGGAGGUUUACGACCUCGAUG
rnacentral:rRNA from 1 species